CACCGCCAUGUGGGGCCGUGGAGAAGCUGCAGGCCCAUUUUCCAUGAGUCAGAAGGGAAGCUGGGUUGUGUUCCUGAACUUUCUUGUAGAGUUUCCCUCUGGAUGCUGCUAGCACUAACAGCCAGAAUCCUGGUAGCCACAUUUGUGGAUGUGGAAAGACACCCACAGUCUGUUGUGCUGUGACAAAAGCUGGCUGGAGGACUGCACGUUGACGACGAGCCUAUCUGUGCAGAGCUGGGCACGUGUGCAUGUCUGUCCCCUCUCUUCCCAGCCUGACUUUGUGCCCCUCCCCCUCCCCUCACUAAGCCAGAAUCACGGUGAGGUUGGGGGACCUGCCUCCUGAAGGAGACUGGGUGCAGAUGGCCACAAGCUCAUGGUCUCUGGAAGACAGAAGCUGGCUACCCGGGGCUAAUGCCUUCUCAAAAGCCGAGGGCUGGCCGACAGGGCCUCUGAGGAGGUUGAGGGGCACGUGGCUAAAGGCAUAUCCUCCGCCCUGAAAAAUCCGGAUCAAGGAGACAUGAUGUCACCCCAGCAUGGGCCACUAGACUGGAUGACUGGGCACUCGGCAGGCAUGUGGUCACAAAGCAAACCAUCUCACCCCGUGAAGAAGUGACGAUCCUUUAGUAUUCGAAGGUUUGCAAACGGAAGACAGAAAGAAACCAACGCAGACCAAUGGUUGAGAGAACUGGCUUUCCAAUUGGAUUGGCUGGGUCCCGAUCCUAAUUCUGCCGCCUAUUGGCUGUGCAAUGUGGGAUCCUCCAAAAGCCCCAGUUCUUCCAACUCUGAAAUAGAGGAGAAGAACCUAUUCUGUGGGGUUGCUUAUGAGGAUUAAGUGAAAUAAUGCAUGCAGAGCUCCUAGUACAAAAUAAGACCCGAAUAACAUUUGCCAUCACCCUUGGUGGCAUCCUCAUUGUCAUUGUUUUUAUUAUUGAUGGUUCUGCAUGGCCCCAGAGAACAGAGGCAGGAGCAAUGGGUGGGAACUGCAGGGGGACUGCUAGUGGUUAGACUCCAGAAAGAACAGUCCAUUAGAACUGUAGAGAAAGGGAAUAGGAAGAAGGGAGGGU
rnacentral:lncRNA from 1 species